CGCGGAGUAGAGCAGAUGGUAGCUCGUCAGGCUCAUAACCUGAAGGUCACGAGGUUCGAGUCCCGUCUCCGCAACCA
rnacentral:tRNA from 1 species